CAGAAGGUUCAGGCUGGUCAUCAUUUGAAUCAGAACCAGAGCGGUGGUCUAAUCUCUUUCUUUUACUUUCUCUACAUUCUGACGUGCCAGAAGUCUUUCUUUUUCUUUUUAAACCGUGUCUCAUCUCAACCUGACUGACUGAGCUUUGGUCAGAAUGUGCUCUGGAUCCUCCAGCUCUGACCUCACUGUUGGCUCUCACAGAAG